rnacentral:tRNA from 1 species
GGGCCUGUAGUCCAACGGCAGAAUACCUCGCUUGCACCGAGGAGUUCCGAGUUCAAUUCUCGGCAGGUCCA